ensembl:misc_RNA Y_RNA Y RNA
AGCUGGUCCGAAGGUAGUGCAUUAUCUUAAUUGAUUGUUCACAGUCAGUUACGGAUCGAACUCCUUUUUCUACUCUUUCCCCUCUUCUCACUACUGCACUUGACUAGUCUUAA